GGUUGGCCUCGGAUCAGGUGGGGAUACCCGCUGAACUUAAGCAUAUCAAUAAGCGGAGGAAAAGAAACCAACAGGGAUUGCCUCAGUAACGGCGAGUGAAGCGGCAACAGCUCAAAUUUGAAAUCUGGCUCACGCCCGAGUUGUAAUUUGUAGAGGAUGUUUCGGGUGAAGCCACGGUCCAAGUCCCUUGGAACAGGACGUCAUAGAGGGUGAGAACCCGUACCUGGCCGUCGGUUGCCCCCCGCUGUGAAACUCCUUCGACGAGUCGAGUUGUUUGGGAAUGCAGCUCUAAAUUGGUGGUAAAUUCCAUCUAAAGCUAAAUACCGGCCAGAGACCGAUAGCGCACAAGUAGAGUGAUCGAAAGAUGAAAAGCACUUUGAAAAGAGAGUUAAAAAGUACGUGAAAUUGUUGAAAGGGAAGCGCUUGCGGCCAGACUUGCCCGCGGUUGCUCAGCCCGCCUUUUGGCGGGUGCACUCUUCCGCGGUCAGGCCAGCAUCGGUUUGGGCGGUCGGAUAAAGGCGCAGGGAACGUGGCCUCCCCUCGGGGAGGUGUUAUAGCCCGGCGUGCAAUGCGGCCAGCCUGGACCGAGGUUCGCGCUCUGCUAGGAUGCUGGCGUAAUGGCCGUAAGCGGCCCGUCUUGAAACACGGACCAAGGAGUCUAACAUCUAUGCGAGUGUUUGGGUGUCAAACCCGUGCGCGUAAUGAAAGUGAACGGAGGUGGGAACCGCAAGGUGCACCAUCGACCGAUCCCGACGUCUUCGGAAGGAUUUGAGUAAGAGCAUAGCUGUUGGGACCCGAAAGAUGGUGAACUAUGCGUGAAUAGGGUGAAGCCAGAGGAAACUCUGGUGGAGGCUCGCAGCGGUUCUGACGUGCAAAUCGAUCGUCAAAUUUGCGUAUAGGGGCGAAAGACUAAUCGAACCAUUUAGUAGCUGGUUCCUGCCGAAGUUUCCCUCAGGAUAGCAGUAACGUUUUCAGUUUUAUGAGGUAAAGCGAAUGAUUAGAGGCCUGGGGGUUGAAACUAACCUUCACCUAUUCUCAAACUUUAAAUAUGUAAGAAGUCCUUGUUACUUAGUUGAACGUGGACAUUUGAAUGCACCGUUACUAGUGGGCCAUUUUUGGUAAGCAGAACUGGCGAUGCGGGAUGAACCGAACGGGGGGUUAAGGUGCCGGAAUGCACGCUCAUCAGACACCACAAAAGGUGUUGGUUCAUCUAGACAGCAGGACGGUGGCCAUGGAAGUCGGAAUCCGCUAAGGAGUGU
rnacentral:rRNA from 1 species